rnacentral:rRNA from 1 species
AGCAUGUGGUUUAAUUCGUAAGCAACGCGAAGAACCUUACCAGGUCUUGACAUCCCUGACAACCCGAGAGAUCGGGCGUUCCCCUUCGGGGGACAGGGUGACAGGUGGUGCAUGGUUGUCGUCAGCUCGUGUCGUGAGAUGUUGGGUUAAGUCCCGCAACGAGCGCAACCCUCGACCUUAGUUGCCAGCAUUCAGUUGGGCACUCUAAGGUGACUGCCGGCUAAAAGUCGGAGGAAGUGGGGAUGACGUCAAAUCAUCAUGCCCCUUAUGACCUGGGCUACACACGUGCUACAAUGGGCGGUACAAAGGGUCGCGAACCCGCGAGGGGGAGCCAAUCCCAAAAAGCCGCUCUCAGUUCGGAUUGCAGGCUGCAACUCGCCUGCAUGAAGCCGGAAUCGCUAGUAAUCGCGGAUCAGCAUGCCGCGGUGAAUACGUUCCCGGGCCUU